CGGAGGAUGCAAGUGUUAUCCGGAAUCACUGGGCGUAAAGCGUCUGUAGGUGGUUUAAUAAGUCAACUGUUAAAUCUUGAGGCUCAACUUCAAAAUCGCAGUCGAAACUAUUAGACUAGAGUAUAGUAGGGGUAAAGGGAAUUUCCAGUGGAGCGGUGAAAUGCGUAGAGAUUGGAAAGAACACCAAUGGCGAAAGCACUUUACUGGGCUAUCACUGACACUGAGAGACGAAAGCUAGGGGAGCGAAUGGG
rnacentral:rRNA from 1 species